UAAAUGUCACUUUUCUGAGAAGA
rnacentral:miRNA from 8 species